rnacentral:rRNA from 1 species
AUUCCCCUAGUAACGGCGAGUGAAGCGGGAACAGCUCAAAUUUGUAAUCUGGCCCUUUCAGUGUCCUAGUUGUAAUCUCAAGAAGUGUUUUCCGCGCCGGACCGCAUACAAGUCUGUUGGAAUACAGCGUCAUAGUGGUGAGAACCCCGUAACUGAUGCGGAUGCCCGGUGCUUUGUGAUACACUUUCGAAGAGUCUAGUUGUUUGGGAAUGCACCUCAAGUUGGGUGGUAAAUUCCAUCUAAAGCUAAAUAUUGGCGAAAGACCGAUAGCGAACAAGUACCGUGAGGGAAAGAUGAAAAGCACUUUGGAAAGAGAGUUAACAGUACGUGAAAUUGUUGGAAGGGAAACGAUUGAAGUCAGACUUGUUAUCUGGAGUUCAGCCUUUCGGUGUACUCUCCAGUUUACAGGCCAGCAUCAGUUUUCGGGGCGGGAAAAUCGUAAUUAGAAGGUAGCAGCCUACCUGUGUUAUAGCUUUUUACUGGAUUCCGCUUUGGGGACUGAGGAACGCAGUGUGCUUUUAGCAAUACCCUCGGGUAUUUCACACUUAGGAUGCUGGUGGAAUGGCUUUAAACGACCCGUCUUGAAACACGGACCAAGGAGUCUAACAUGCUUGCGAGUAUUUGGGUGUCAAACCCGGAUGCGCAAUGAAAGUGAAUGAAGGUGGGAUCCGCAAGGUGCACCAUCGACCGAUCUGGAUUUUUUAAGAUGGAUUUGAGUAAGAGCAAUUAUGUUGGGACCCGAAAGAUGGUGAACUAUGCCUGAAUAGGGCGAAGCCAGAGGAAACUCUGGUGGAGGCUCGUAGCGGUUCUGACGUGCAAAUCGAUCGUCAAAUUUGGGUAUAGGGGCGAAAGACUAAUCGAACCAUCUAGUAGCUGGUUCCUGCCGAAGUUUCCCUCAGGAUAGCAGAAACUCACAUCAGUUUAUGAGGUAAAGGGAAUGAUUAGAGCCCUUGGGGUUGAAACACCCUUAACCUAUUCUCAAACUUUAAAUAUGUAGGAAGACCUUGCUACUUAAUGAGCGAGGUCA